GACGAACGCUGGCGGCGUGCUUAACACAUGCAAGUCGAACGGAAAGACCUCUUUCGGGGGGUACUCGCGUGGCCAACGGGUGAGUAACACGUGCGUAACCUGCCCUUGUCUUUGGGUUAGCUACCUGCAACUGAGGCGAACACCUGAUAGGUGCUCCUUCUGACUGGAGGGGGUUGUAGAGUUUCGGCGGUUGGGGGUGAGCUGGCGGCGUAUCCGCUUGUUGGUGGGGUGGUGGCUUACCAACGGCUUGCCGAGUAGCCGGACUGUGGGGGUGAGCGGCCACAUUGGGACUGAGGGACGGCCGCGGCUCCUACGGGACGCAGCUGUGGGGAAGACUGCCCAAUCGGUGGCAGCCGGAUGCAGCAACGCCGUGGGCGGGAUGACGGUCUUCUGGGUGUAAAACGCAUUCGCUCAUGACGAAGCUUUGUGUGACGGUAGUGGGUAAGGAAGCACCGGCUAACUACGUG
rnacentral:rRNA from 1 species